GAUGAAGAACGUAGCGAAAUGCGAUACGUAAUGUGAAUUGCAAAUUCAGUGAAUCAUCGAGUCUUUGAACGCACAUUGCGCCCCCUGGUAUUCCGGGGGGCAUGCCUGUCCGAGCGUCAUUGCUGCGCUCAAGCACGGCUUGUGUGUUGGGCCCCGUCCUCCGAUCCCGGGGGACGGGCCCGAAAGGCAGCGGCGGCACCGCGUCCGGUCCUCGAGCGUAUGGGGCUUUGUCACCCGCUCUGUAGGCCCGGCCGGCGCUUGCCGAUCAACCCAAAUUUUUUAUCCAGGUUGACCUCGGAUCAGGUAGGGAUACCCGCUGAACUUAAGCAUAUCAAUAAGCGGAGGA
rnacentral:misc_RNA from 1 species